UUCGAUUCUGGCUCAGGAUGAACGCUGGCGGCGUGCUUAACACAUGCAAGUCGAACGGAGUAUUGACGCUGCAGAGAUUUCGGUCGAAGCUUGUUAAUACUUAGUGGCGGACGGGUGAGUAACGCGUGGGUAACCUGCCGUAUGCAGGGGGACAACAGUUGGAAACGACUGCUAAUACCGCAUAAGCGCACGGUUUUUGCAUGAAACAGUGUGAAAAGAUUUAUCGGCAUACGAUGGAUCCGCGUUUGAUUAGCUAGUUGGUGAGGUAACGGCCCACCAAGGCUACGAUCAAUAGCCGGCCUGAGAGGGCAAUCGGCCACAUUGGGACUGAGACACGGCCCAAACUCCUACGGGAGGCAGCAGUGGGGAAUAUUGCACAAUGGGGGAAACCCUGAUGCAGCCGACGCCGCGUGAGUGAAGAAGUAUUUCGGUAUGUAAAGCUCUAUCAGCAGGGAAGAUGAUGACGGUACCUGACUAAGAAGCCCCGGCUAACUACGUGCCAGCCGCCGC
rnacentral:rRNA from 1 species